rnacentral:rRNA from 1 species
CCGAGGCAACAAUUUGGUAACGUUCCCACUUGGAAAGUAAAAAAGCGUAACAAGGUCUCCGCUUGGCUGAACCAGCGGAGGGAUCA